GCCCAUGUAGCUCAGAUGGCAGAGCGCCGCAUUCGUAACGCGGAGCGCGUCCGUUCGAUCCGGACCUUGGGCACCA
rnacentral:tRNA from 1 species